rnacentral:rRNA from 1 species
UUCAUUGGGUUUAAAGGGUGCGCAGGCGGAUUGGUAAGUCAGGGGUGAAAUCCCACAGCUCAACUGUGGAACUGCCUUUGAUACUGUCAGUCUAGAGUAUAGUUGAAGUUGGCGGAAUGUGUCAUGUAGCGGUGAAAUGCUUAGAUAUGACACAGAACACCGAUCGCGAAGGCAGCUAGCUAAGCUAUAACUGACGCUCAUGCACGAAAGCGUGGGGAUCAAACAGGAUUAGAUACCCUGGUAGUCCACGCUGUAAACGAUGAUUACUCGAUGUUGGCGAUACACAGUCAGCGUCUGAGCGAAAGCAAUAAGUAAUCCACCUGGGGAGUACGAUCGCAAGAUUGAAACUCAAAGGAAUUGACGGGGGCCCGCACAAGCGGAGGAGCAUGUGGUUUAAUUCGAUGAUACGCGAGGAACCUUACCUGGGCUCGAACGUAAGAUGACUGUAGGUGAAAGCUUACAUCUCUUCGGAGCAUUUUACGAGGUGCUGCAUGGUUGUCGUCAGCUCGUGCCGUGAGGUGUCGGGUUAAGUCCCAUAACGAGCGCAACCCCUACCUUUAGUUGCCAUCAGGUCAUGCUGGGGACUCUAAAGGAACUGCCUACGCAAGUAGUGAGGAAGGCGGGGAUGACGUCAAAUCAGCACGGCCCUUACGUCCAGGGCUACACACGUGCUACAAUGGCCGAUACAGAGGGCAGCUACCUGGUGACAGGAUGCAAAUCUCCAAAGUCGGUCUCAGUUCGGAUCGGAGUCUGCAACCCGACUCCGUGAAGUUGGAUUCGCUAGUAAUCGCGCAUCAGCCAUGGCGCGGUGAAUACGUUCCCGGGCCUUGUACACACCGCCCGUCAAGCCAUGGAAGCUGGGGGGACCUAAAGUCGAUAACCGCAAGGAGUCGCCUAGGGUAAAACCAGUGACUGGGGCUAAGUCGUAACAAGGUAGCCG